rnacentral:lncRNA from 1 species
AGGAUAUCUUUCUGGAGAUCCCUGCCUAGUAGAGGCCUUCUAAAGAAUUUACAAGCCAUUACCCAUCACAUCUAGAACAUUACUGGAGCUGUCGAGAUAAAGGAAUCAGCGUAGAAACAUUGUUCCACUGGGAAAUGUAAAAUGGCAUAAAGUUGGUCCCUCAACAAGGUCCUACAGCCCUGGUGCAGCUUGGAUCCUGGAUGCCAUGCCUGGUCUCAAGCUACUGCUUCC